rnacentral:rRNA from 1 species
UACGGAGGAUCCGAGCGUUAUCCGGAUUUAUUGGGUUUAAAGGGUGCGUAGGCGGCUUUUUAAGUCAGCGGUGAAAUUUUGCAGCUUAACUGUAACAGUGCCGUUGAUACUGGGGAGCUAGGAUUUGGUUGCUGUGGGUGGAAUGUGUGGUGUAGCGGUGAAAUGCUUGGAGAUCACACAGAAUAUCGAUUGCGAAGGCAGCUCACAAAGCCAAGAUUGACGCUGAGGCACGAAAGUGUGGGGAUCAAACAGGAUUAGAUACCCCGGUA